rnacentral:lncRNA from 1 species
UCAGAUGACAACCAAACAGGCGUGACUUAUAAAUCACUGGUUUUAAGUCACUUGACUUAUAAGUCAGGUGACUUAUUGAAACCAAACAGGGCCUUGCAAGGAUAAAAGAAGGAAAACCGUUUCCUGGCGAUAUACCUGGGCUGGAGUACACCGAUUACUUAUGUACCGUGUACACAACUACACAUGCAAAAAAGAAAAUUCUUGUGCGGGAACGCAUGCAUUUUCUUCACAGUGAGAACGCGGAGAAGGCGCAUGCGAUUAAUUUCGCAUGAGCCCACUAAUCCAAGCAGACAAGCUUGCAAUGUCAGAACGACGCCGUCGCCGUUCCGUGGAGAUGAUCCAUGGGCGGCUCGGACACCCAGAGGAGCUCCUCCAGGUACUCGGCACCCAGGUCCUCCAGCACCA